CAAACAACAGAACAUAUAUACAUGGCUCGUGGAUGAAGAGAGUAAACACAAAACACAAGAAAACAACAUAAGAGGAGGAAGAAGAGCAAACCAGAGAGAAAAUGACUGCUGAAAGUCACUGAAGUGCAAAAAGCAUGGGAUAUUGGAGGAACAGAAAGAUGGCUGUUAAACAUAGUUCAUCUGUCUUGGGACCCCAGUGAGCAAGCAAAGUGAAGGACAACUUGUUGAAGGCAUGGAGAAGACAGCAAAGCACACAAGUGAUCCUCCCCCCACCAGACAUUCCCCAGGGCUGCCAUAACAAACUACCACAAACUGAGUGGCACACAACAAGAGAAAUUUAUUAUUUUAUGGUUGUGGAGGCUAGAAGCUCAGAAUGAAGGUGUUACCAAAGCCAUGGUUUUCCUAAACCACCAGAUCAUCUUACAUUGUUUCUGGAAGAAGUGUUCAAUGACUUUGAAAUUUUAUUUUUAUUAUUUCAAUCAAAAUGUCCACUGAACUUCUUCAGUAAAUAAGCCUGCUUCUAUCUGAAAAUACUUUUAUCCUGCAAUAUACAUUGACCAGUUGUGACAAAUAGUACCAAAGUUUAGGGAACAUACUUUGAACAAUGUGUAGAAUUACUAAUUCACCCCCCCCUACAUUUUUUCCCUCAGAAUGUGGUUACCACAAUACAUGAUCAGAAAGAAGACUGGGAAAGUUUUAAAGUCACUAAUAAAAGUAAUCCAAUGGUUAUGAUGCUGUAUAUAAAACAUCUUCACUUAUAUAUAACUGAGAAUUCCUCCUGAUGCAUAUUUUAUUAUCCAUGAGCAUGAUGUUUUAAAGAAUAAUUUGAACUACUUGAAAUAAUUUGAACACAAAGAAAAGAAGUAAAGUUAGUUCAUCUUUGGUUAAGAACAACAGAAAUAUAUAUGUUCAUUGGUGUAAGGGGGAAAAAGGCAAUAAUUUAUUAAAUGAAUACAUGAAGAAAGGAACAGGUAGAAUUUCUAGGCUUGAUGGACUAGAACUAGUAAUCUACAGUUUCUAUGGUAAGGUUUCCUCUCUCUCUCUCCCCUCCCCCACUCAUGCUUUUUUAGUACUGCUUCAUUCAUCUUACUUACUACAGAUUAGCUUUCUUUGUUUCUCUAUGCCUUAGUGGAAAAUGUCUCCAUACCAUUUUCCUAAUUUAAUACCUCCUAAUAUCUAACCCUGUUUUAAUAAUCCCAAUUUUACAUUCUGGGAAGUAAAGAAAAAAAAAAAGAGCUCAAGUGUCUCAACUCUCUCUAUGAACUGGUCUCCCAGGACUGGGUUUCUAUUUUACAUCAAAUUAACUAUGGUCAGAGACAAGGUUAUCAACUAUGAACGGAAUCAUAGGGGGCCACUUCCUUUAGUUACUAAAGCAGAUACAUAGAGUCUCAGAACCAAAACAUGUCUACUGAAAUUAUCAGCCUUGGCAUAGAUGAGCCAUUUAAUGGUGGUAGAAGGUUAUAUAAUUAAAUAAAUGCACUAUGCUGGACAGUACAAGACUAUUUUUAAUUAAUAUAUACCUUUAUAUAUAUUUAUUAAUGUUUAUUUAUUAUUGAGAGACAGAGAGACACAGGUGAGCAGGGGAGGGGUAGAGA